UUAUGUGGCUGGACAGGUAGAUAAGGAACCUAGCCCAUUCUCCCAUCUGGAUAAAGAGAAGCUUUCCAAUGGGAAGGAUAAGGAAGCACUGGAACAGGUUGCCUGGGGCACUGGUGGAGUCUCCAUCCAGUCUUUAAGAACUGGUUAGACAAGCACCUGUCAGGAGUGAUAUAGGCACAGCUCGCUUUGCCUUCCAACCCUAUUUUUCUGGAUCUAGGGUGAAACUCCGCUCCUGAAAAACUGUAUUCAUAUUUGCCUGUUCCCUGCAUCCUGGGAAACUGAGGAGACACAGUUUGGCAACUGGCAUUGAGGUAAAAUUGAAAAUGAAGCUGACAAGCCUGAUGUGCCAAGAGAAGUGUUCUGUAUGCAGGAAUUUGGACUUCUUGGAGGUGCAGACCAAAAACUUGGAGUUUAAGUCAUAAAUCACCAGUGGUGUGGUUUUACAACAUAAGCAGCAGCAUAGAAGCAAAGCAAUUGCCGAACAGCAGCAAAACAGAAGUAAAGAUCAGAGACUGCAAGCAGCAGAGGACACGUGGGUACACGUCCACUACAGGAAGGUUGCGUGGGGUGAGUGCACCGGGUUUCCACCAAAGUUGUGACAGAAAAGGAGAAAGCCCAGAAAAAGAGGAGGAAACAAGAGAACGGGGUGUCUGCAAAGUAGUCCCAAGUAGUCAAAAAACCCAAGAUGAGAGCUGCAUCCCAUUCUUCUCCAGGGAAAGGAGGGAGUAAGAACAAUGACCCUGCCCUUUCAGACACUGUUGUUUCUUUAACUUUACAGGUGCUGGAGAAAAAGUAGAUGAAUAGAAAUACUUCCAGCCCCAGCUUCACUUCAUUAAACCACGGGCUGUCAGGCUGUUUGGAUGGCGGAGAUUUUAGGUGGGCAAAAAAGCAAGAGACACACUGAAGAUAGAUAUGAACAGGACAAGAGCUGCACAUGUUGCACCAAUUUUGCAUUCUAUUAUUUUACAAUAAAUCCACAGGAAACUCUUAUAGACCUUGACCCGCAAAGGUACACAGACCUGCUGUUUAGUUAGGUGGUGCCUCUUCACCGGUGCAGAAAUUAAACACUGGAUGGCUGGGCAGUCACCCCCAAAAAGCAGCUGCUUUGCCUUGCAAUGUACAGACUGAAAUUGAGCCCUAUGUGUGCCUGCAGUUCUUCCUUACAUCUACAGGUUACUCUGAGAUACACUGCAAAAUGCAUUCAGAUCCACAGUUGCUUCUUCUAAGGAUAAGUACCCCAGAGCGCCAUAAACUCUAUGCAUUUCUAAAGGUCUCUGUGGCCUGAUCUGGAUCAUUUACCAUAUGAAAGAUCAGCUGUACUACAACCCAAGGCCAUUAAUGGCAUGCUAAGCCACUCUACCUUUCCCAUUGAUUUUGUCACACUUCGUAUCUGCAGUUACAAAACUAAUAUGCCAUGCAUUUUAUGUGUGCUGAUGGCUGCAGUGCUGACAUCGUGAGUGGGGACUGGGGUGCCAGGACAAACAGAUGCAUGAGAAGCAGGAUGAGAAGCAUCCUGGCCAAAUGAUACAGAUGUCGGAAAUGUAGCCAGUAGUUAUGGGAUGGGAAUAAAAUGUUAAGAUUAUGUUUAAUUCUAUCUAUACUAAUAGCAGUGUGCAGGGAUGAUGGCUCCCUUAUUCUAAGGUUUGGUAUGGGUACGUAUCACCUGCAGAAAUGAGCUGUGGGGUGGGGCAUGGGUUGGGCAGGAGCCAGAAGCAUUGCCAGAGUUGUGAUUCUGGUCUCUGCCGUCUGGGAUGCCUUCACCUGCUCUUGGUGCUGAGUGCAAGAGCACACCCUCAGCCUUCCACUGGCAUUGGUACCCCUCCACCAGCUGGGUCCAAAGAUGUACCUCCCCAACCUUCAGGAACUUCAGUGAGACCAAACAUCGCCUUGAACAGUAAAUUUUGCAAGUCCCAAAAUCAUGGGCAUCUCACUACCAAAGCCAUUCCCAGGAGCCCAUCAGUUCACAUAACUUUUAACAUCCCUCUGUAGAACUGAAUCAAGCAAAUAAAUUUUUUUUUUCUCUCAUUUGUGACUUCUAAAAGAUCAUGUAAGUUUGAAAAAGCUAUUUUAAAGUUCUGGUGAUUCAAGAAUACAGUCAACCACCAAAAGCCAGUCAGGAUGCUUGUUAUCACAAAAUGCUUACAUCUAAUUAAAAUAUUUCAGCGUGAGUCUGAUCACCUCAAGUAUUUUGAAUGGUUUAAAUAUUGUUAAAGGAAAUUCUGAAAUAAAAUGCUGAUGAACCAAAAGUACUGAAAAAAUUCAAAGUGAUAAUUUAGUAUUUAACAAACUACUUUAUUAAACGCUUCUAUAUUAUAUGAACAAUUCUGCAAAAUUUCCAUGGAUUCAUGAACUGUCUCAGUGUUGUUACAGCAGCUUUCUCCCUUUAAACAGAGUUUGUUUCUUCGGUUUCAUGAAGCCCUGCCUUAUCUCAUUCAGCCACAUAGAGUUGAAACUACACAGAGUGAAAUAGGGAAGUUUGAGAACAUAACCAUUGAAAGACUGAAAAAAUAGUUUUGGAUGACCUUGUGUUUUCUCUCUCUCCUUCCAUUUUGCUCCAUGGGAAAAGACUUGUGUGAGAGCCACCCUUAGAUGUCCUGGUUCAGGGGAGUUCAGUGAUCGUUUUUGUUUGCAGUUUGCUGAGCAUUACAAUGACUGUCUUCUUAUCCUAGCCUGCAAUGAAUUGAACAACUCAAAGUGAUUCUCGUAACAUU